rnacentral:sRNA from 1 species
AAGCCAGCCAAUUCUGCGGCGAGUGAGGAAAACCGGUGAGACUCCGGUGCGGUCGCGCCACUGUAAGCCGAACCCCGUCACGGGCAGGCGAGUCAGGACGCUCACGCGCCGCAGGCCCCAUCGAUCGGGACGCGUCAUCCCGAAGGAGGAAC